UGAAACACCAUGUGCUUAACUACUUAAAGCAUCUACUACUCUAAAUGCUACAUGCUGUCAAUGAAGCCCUUCACAUCAUUAUCAACAAGAAAAAUGUUAUGUGUCAUGGAAAUACCAACAAAAGGUGUGACCCAAGUUUUGCAACAAGUGAAAGCACCUUGACAGUUCAAAUAUUGAGAUAGCACUGCUUCAAUAAAGAUAACCUCCAGCUUCUGUUUCCACAUCCAACUCCAUGACUGUGUGUUCCAACUCUAGAAUAUCUGGCUAGCUUUAUUACACAACAAUAUGAUAAUGCUUUGUAAAUUGGGAUGUGUCCCCCAGAUUAUCAUUACAAACCCCAUUCAAGUAGUAAAAUGAAAUCAGUCCCAUUAAAAUUCUAAAAUGUGUGUUGCUAACAAUAGAACAUACAGGAAGCGGCAUGGGGGAAUCUAGUAAGGGACAUUGGGAAAGACAAUACUGGAGUUGGAUCAUGAAAGGAAUCUAUUAUCUUAGCAGACCACUAGCUUCCACCAACCCAAAAGCUAAGAAUGUUUCGGAAAGCGUCUGAGACCUGUAGGAGAACUUCCCCAUUUUGAUUUAAACUGCCUCUGAUGGACCCACCAAUGAACUUUAAAAUGCACCUUAAAUUUCAACAAAAUCAAGCUGUUGCAGGGAGCAGGGUAAGCUCUGAAUGUGUAUUUUGACACGGGAAGUCUUUGUCAAGGAUACGAAGAUCAAUUGGCCUAUGGGAAAUUGGCAAAGCCAUUGUCCAUGUGGCCAAGCUUAAGAGAAAUGGCAAAGCUUUUCUGGAGUCUCAGUAUGAGUGUUUUUGAAGGGAUGGAUCAGUAUGAACAAGACUAGCAACUAUGGCAUCCUCCUGGACAGUACUGAGACUUCUCUCCCCCAGAGACCUCCCACUGAGGAGAGCUAAUCCCUCUACCCAUGCUAUACCUAAUAAACAUGAAGAGGUUCCAGGUCUCGGUGG